ensembl:snRNA U6 U6 spliceosomal RNA
AGCACUCACUUCAGCAGCAAAUUACUAAAAUUGGAACCAUACAGAGAAGACUGGCAUGGCCCCUGUGCAAGGAUGACACACAAAUUCAUGAAGUGUUCCAUAUUUUU